rnacentral:rRNA from 1 species
UCCGGAGGGUGCAAGCGUUAUCCGGAUUUAUUGGGUUUAAAGGGUCCGUAGGCGGAUCUGUAAGUCAGUGGUGAAAUCUCACAGCUUAACUGUGAAACUGCCAUUGAUACUGCAGGUCUUGAGUGUUAUUGAAGUAGCUGGAAUAAGUAGUGUAGCGGUGAAAUGCAUAGAUAUUACUUAGAACACCAAUUGCGAAGGCAGGUUACUAAGCAACAACUGACGCUGAUGGACGAAAGCGUGGGGAGCGAACAGG